rnacentral:rRNA from 1 species
AUUGAACGCUGGCGGCAGGCCUAACACAUGCAAGUCGAACGGUAACAGGAAGCAGCUUGCUGCUUUGCUGACGAGUGGCGGACGGGUGAGUAAUGUCUGGGAAACUGCCUGAUGGAGGGGGAUAACUACUGGAAACGGUAGCUAAUACCGCAUAACGUCGCAAGACCAAAGUGGGGGACCUUCGGGCCUCACACCAUCGGAUGUGCCCAGAUGGGAUUAGCUAGUAGGUGGGGUAAUGGCUCACCUAGGCGACGAUCCCUAGCUGGUCUGAGAGGAUGACCAGCCACACUGGAACUGAGACACGGUCCAGACUCCUACGGGAGGCAGCAGUGGGGAAUAUUGCACAAUGGGCGCAAGCCUGAUGCAGCCAUGCCGCGUGUAUGAAGAAGGCCUUCGGGUUGCAAAGCACUUUCAGCGGGGAGGAAGGCGGUGAAGUUAAUAGCUUCACCGAUUGACGUUACCCGCAGAAGAAGCACCGGCUAACUCCGUGCCAGCCGCCGCAGUAA